GAUAAACGCUGGCGGCGUGCAUAACACAUGCAAGUCGAACGAUAAAGAUUAAAUGAUUUCUUCGGAAUGAACUUAAUUGGAUUAGUGGCGGACGGGUGAGUAACGCGUGAGUAACCUGCCUUGUACAAGGGGAUAGCCGUUGGAAACGACGAAUAAUACCCUAUGACAUCAAAUAAUCGCAUGAUAAUUUGAUCAAAGAUUUAUCGGUAUAAGAUGGACUCGCGUCUGAUUAGCUAGUUGGUAGAGUAAAAGCCUACCAAGGCAACGAUCAGUAGCCGGCUGGAGAGAGUGUACGGCCACAUUGGGACUGAGACACGGCCCAGACUCCUACGGGAGGCAGCAGUGGGGAAUUUUGCACAAUGGGGGAAACCCUGAUGCAGCGACGCCGCGUGAUUUAGAAGGCCUUCGGGUUGUAAAAAUCUUUUGUAUGGGAAGAAAAUGACAGUACCAUACGAAUAAGGACCGGCUAAUUACGUG
rnacentral:rRNA from 1 species